AUUGAACGCUGGCGGCAGGCUUAACACAUGCAAGUCGAGCGGAGAUGAGGUGCUUGCACCUUAUCUUAGCGGCGGACGGGUGAGUAAUGCUUAGGAAUCUGCCUAUUAGUGGGGGACAACAUUCCGAAAGGAAUGCUAAUACCGCAUACGUCCUACGGGAGAAAGCAGGGGAUCUUCGGACCUUGCGCUACUAGAUGAGCCUAAGUCGGAUUAGCUAGUUGGUGGGGUAAAGGCCUACCAAGGCGACGAUCUGUAGCGGGUAUGAGAUGAUGAUCCGGCACACUGGGACUGAGACACGGUCCAGACUCCUACGGGAUGCAGCAGUGGGGAAUAUUGGACAAUGGGGGAAACCCUGAUCCAGCCAUGCCGCGUGUGUGAAGAAGGCCUUAUGGUUGUAAAGCACUUUAAGCGAGGAGGAGGCUACUGAGACUAAUACUCUUGGAUAGUGGACGUUACUCGCAGAAUAAGCACCGGCUAACUCUGUGCCAGCAGCCGCGGUAA
rnacentral:rRNA from 1 species